rnacentral:lncRNA from 1 species
GGGCGAGGGGCGGGGCCGCCCAGGGCGCGCAUGCGCUUUUCUCCAGAGGCGCCAGUCAAAGAAGAGGGGGGGGGGGUGAGUCUCCGUGCUGCUCAGGGCGCCUCGAGUUCUUCUUGCAUUUCUUCCUCGGAGGCGAUUGUUACCCCGCUUUUCUCCCGCACCCACCCAAAGCGGAUAGCAAUACAAUCGAACAUACACAGUACAAAUCAAAACAGACUCCGUUCAGUGAAGGCCAAGAGGGAUCCUCUCCCCUCGGCAGCAGUCUACCGUUGACCAUGUAGCUGUGGACAAGAAGUCUACACAGGGGCCCCCAAGGGCACCGGAUGGGCCUGCCCUUGGGAUACUGGUGGUGCUGGCUCUCCUGACAUCCCCCCUCCCCACUGGAAUAGGAUCACUUUGGAAUGAUUGUGUGUGCAAUUAUAAUAAUAAAACCUUCAUUGUAUUCCGCCCUAUCUCCCCAUUUUCUAAUUUACUGAUUUUUUAAGCUGUGCUUUGUUUAGACUUAGGUUGUGAGGGAUCCUUAACUGAGAGAAGGGUGACAUCCCAGGAUUUGUAGUAAUGUAAGUCUUCAGAAUGACCGGCCUUAGUGCCUCCCCAGACUACAAAUCCCAGAAUUUCAUAGGCUGGCAUCACAGCAGUUCAAGUGGGAUCAAAGUACUACAAUUGCAUCCUGUGAAAAAGAUCAAUUUACAAAACAGGGAACAUUCCUAGUAAACUCAGCGCCAACGACUUCUGAGUAAUAGGAUGUGAACAUAGGAUGUGAUUGUAAGGUGGCAGUUCUACUACUUACAUUUGGAUCGUUUCCAUAGUUAUUAAGAAAAAGAAAUCUUGUCUGCUUCUCCCUAAAGCAUAAUAAUAAUAAUAAUAAUAAAAGGCCACCCUACUGGGAUCUGCAGCAUCAUCCGAAAAUACAUCACACAGUCCUAGACACUUGGGAAGUGUUUGACUUGUGAUUUUGUGAUAUGAAAUCCAGCAUGUCUAUCUUGUUUGCUGUGUCAUAUAAUAAUAAUAAUAAUAUAAUAAUAAUAAUAAUAAUAGAUUUUAUAUGCUUCUCCUUAAAGCAUCAUCAUCAUCACCACCACUCCACUGAAACCAUUUGGACUUCAGCCGGUAUCCGUAGAACGAAAACAACUUCUCUGGAACAGCACAAGAAGGAUACGUUUCGAACCUUGGACUGCUGCCUACAACCCGCACUGUUGGCGAGGCGCAUCCCUUUGCCACCGUGGUGCCUUCCCCUUGCGGAGAGCACCCAGCUCUGUAGUGUUGAAAGUCUACUGAGGCAUUCCGCUCCUUAUGAGGAUGAUAAUCACGGUAAUUACAGCAUUAACCUUCCCAAGAGAGCCAAGAUGUUUGGUGGCCCGGAUAUGCACCGGAAGCGUACAAGUGGCCAGGAGGUGUGCUUUGGAAGCCACUUGCUCUGGAGUAGUCUGAUGAGAGCCCCUUGGGUUUCCUGCAAGGGAAGGGAAGCCAGCCAGCAGGCAGACGUCUAUGCUCCCCCAAAAUACAGAUCCCAUAGGAGAGGACCGUAGCAACUAAAGAGGAAUCAAUGGGUCUCAAUUAGGCAGUGUGGCUCUCCACUAGAAAUCCCAAGACUUGGUCAGAUGUUGCCAAGGCAGAGAAAGUGGGCUCAGCCCUUGGUAACUGCAUAGAGCAAAAGAGAGUGAAGAACAAAAUAGGCAGCCCACUCUGAAGACCCCAAGGUGGCUUGUCAUUAAAAGGACAAUUCAUGAAGCUCUAACUUGAGCUGUUAGCUCCUGCCCCCAAAUGGAGACACAACUGGGAUUAAGUGAAGGUAGGGUAUCUCCCCCUCCAGCCUCUUCUAUUCCCAUUCUGCAUCCCUAUGCUUAAUAUGGUCAGAUAUACAUGCCCUGCAUUGUACAGAGACCCUUUUCCCUGAAAUUAAAAGUGAUGUAAAGGAAAAGGGAAAAAGAGGAAGGCAGAUCUAAUGAGAAAGCAGUGCCACCCUGUGGCCCAAGAGGAAGGUUGCACCGCUUGAAAGCAAAGGCUUUUCUUGUUGACAUGCGCUCUGGCAGCAAGCAACACUGAGCUGGAAAUCUGCCCUCUGGUGGGCAAAGUCACUGCCCUGGGGCUGCCUUGGGACUUGGGCACUCUCUUGGCCACACUCAGUGGUAUGGGCUCAUCGCUCCCAUGUCAGCAGGGCACUGAGUCCACUCUGGAUUUUGGAAAGCUUUCACGGAGGUUCUGCAUCCUGGAGAGCUCUUUGAAAGCCUGGCUUGAAACCUGGAUUGGAUUUGCCGCCCCAUUGACCACCACUGGGUGCAACAUGAGCCUAUGCCUCCAGCGACAGAAACAGAGAUGGGCACUGACCUGUAUAGCUAUGUUUGGAUGGACAGGAGCCCUGUCCUGGAUCUAAUCUGGCAACUCCAUUCCAACCUCUUGCAGGGCGUGAGUGCUGCAAAACACUCACUAUGAUUCUGUCACUGGAACAUUUUGAGAGCCACAGGAGCAGUGGAAUAAAAAUGCAUGGGCUGUUAAGUCUCAAACAGGAAUGUUUGUGUUCUUCCUUCUGCUGUCCUCCAUAAUUAAAAUACUGGUAUAUUUCUUUUAUAUAUUUCGAACAUAUUCCUCUCUAUAUUUUGUUUCUAUGCCACUACUCCUGGCAUCCUGCUCGGCAGUUGCAAUAUCCUCAGACAGACCUAACAAUAGCUGAAAAUUCCCAUUUGCAGCAUGACCAACAUCUCCCUAAAGCCCUGCCUUUUCAGCCAGGCUCAACCCAAGGGUUUCUGAGGCCCUGGAGCCUCACAGGAUUCCCUUACGCAAGCCUCACUCUCUCAGCCUCAGGAGUAACAAAUCUUGCCAAGAAAACCCUGCAAUAGGGUCGCCUUCAAUUGUCACAAGAUGACAAUGAUUUAGAGGUACAGAACUGGGAAACCUUUGCUUGAUGAUGCUGGGACUCUGGUUCCCAUAUAGAACCACAAGCAAGGGAUGGUAGGAAUAGGGCUUCACCAAUACCUGGCUCCCAGUUUUCCACUUCCAGGGCUCUUAUGGUAACAAAGACACACUUUGAAACACUGGACAAAUCUAAGAGUGCAAUAACGAGAGAAUGGAGUCAGCGUCCAAAAGCAGUUUUUACAAAGAGCUGUGCGUGCAAGUGGGUAAACAGCACUAUCGCAAGUACAAGGGACCCGUCAGCUCUGCAAACCUUCAAUGAGAUCCAGACUUUUAAAAAUCUAGCCCAGGCCGCUCACGUGAUUGUUCCCUGAGGCAGGGAAGGGCGGCGGGGAGGAAUGAUUUACAGGGAUGAAAUAACAGAGGCCAGGGCAUCGUUUCUGCCAGGAUUUAAUCCAACUCUCACAGAAGCAGAACGCAACAGGAUCACUCCCCCUUUGCCUGGUCAGCAGAAUCUCCCCGGUGAGGCCUCCCUGCUCUGGAUUAAGGAUUAACAUGGGAAUAUAUUCAGGAGGCAAAAGGGUGGGACUUCAGCACACAGGCUUCAAAACAGAUCAAGGGUGAGCGAUGCGGGGCUUAAGGUUUUGUCUCGCUCAACUAGGCCAGGUCUGAAAACAUUUCAGCUUGUAUUAUGAUGUAAUGCUGAUGGCAUUGCUAUCCGGAGAAGGCAACAGACAACCAUUGACCACUUCUGACCACUGCAGUGGCCUUUUGAUAGAAGAUAGAAGAUAGAGCAGUCAUGUCACAAGUGAAUUGCAAGGAAAAGACUGUAGGUGGAACCCCGGCUUAAUGCAGACCACGGAGGACAAUGUGGUAAAUCUGUCCAGAGGGAGGGGACCCCAUGUGGGCACAUACCUUGCUCAUAAGCAGAUCUCAGUCUCCACGCGUAUAAAUAUUCUUCUGCAUUGAACUCAAAGGAAGCAUGCACCUUGUUGUUUUAGAAAAAGGGAAUUAAAAUGUGGCAAGGAAGUCCAACAUAACGGCAUCAGGUGUCUCCCCUGACCAGCCACCUCUGAGCUGAGCAGGAAUUCAUUUUGGAAACAUCCCAUCUCUGGCUUGCAGACUCACAGUACAGAAGAACAACUCUCAGCCCUGUGUGUGUACGAAGGGAAAAGUAAUAGCCUACAACACAGCUUUCCCAUAGAAAGGGUUGUGCGUUAUCUAGAUUAUUAUUAUUAUAUAAAGGUAGGUUCUUUUGCAACCAAGGAGAGUGGAGGAAUAAAGCCAAAUCAAGAGGUUGCUGCAAUUCCUCUGACAGCUGAAUAGCAUUGGGGGAGGCUAGCCAGAGAACGCUGGCCACUGCCGCCGCCGCCUCCUCCUCCUCGCUCCACUCCCACCCUUUCCUUUUUGACAUUCUGCCAUUCACAGACAGCAAAUACCAUUUACAUAAUUCUGGUUUAUUGUGCUUUUGUACAAAACAAUUUCUGUACUGAUUUUUUUUUUUUUUUUACAAAAGCCCCCCACACACAGAAAACCCACCCGCUCGGUCCUGAUCGGGUGCUGGGGGAAGAGGGAGAAGGGUCUCCCGACUCCUACAACCCAGAGAGACACCCCUGUGUUGAGACUCCUGGCCAUCAAAACGAUGGCAACAAGUGCUAUGGCACCCCUUCCCACCCCCAAUCCUACAUGUCGGUUCAAAGCUUUCAUUCCAUCAAAUGGGAGACAAACAAGGAGUCAAUUCAAUAUGGCUUCCAUCUUCUGAAGACAGAGACUGGGCAACAAGAGCCACUUUUAGUGUCCUACAAAUGGGCUGCUCUCCCGGGGAACCUGAACUGCAUGACACACAGUGCAAGUGCUGGCUCUCUGCAACAAUUCUUUCCUAUGAACACUGGUCCCAAAACAACAUCAUAAACCUGAACAUUUGGUCAAGACAGCAGGGUUUAAAGCAGAGACAAUGUUCUCCACGCUUUGCAAGCUCUGCUUUAAUUGGUCACAGGCGCAACAGGAAGAACCAAACCCGGAGGCAGCCUGAUUGUUCCUAUGCAGGGGACAGGAACCCCCCAAACAAUGAGAGGGAAAGUUGAACACUUCCAACCUGAAGAAUGUCAAACCCAGCUCAGGACAGGAAUGGUCAUCAUUAGGCACCCAUCCAGCUGGAGAACAGCAUAGCCUAUGUCUGCCACCUGGAAAAGCUAGGUGCCAGGACCAAAGGCCAAGAGGGCUAAGGGAAGGGAGAACUCAACCAGCGAGCGGCACAGCAACUCCCAGGACUGGGAAAGGAAUGCAAUGCUCAUCACUGGGCAAGUCUGAUUGCAUCAACAGAAAAAUGGCCACUGGCAAACAUGUCAAGUGGUCAAGAAAGGGGAAUUGGCUGCUGCAAGAGAAAGCGUCCAUGGCAAGGGAUACUGACAGAAUCUUAACUCCGGCUUAUUCCCACUAGCCUGGGCAAAGGAACUAAUGGUGGGGAUGGUGUGCACGAUGCCCCAGAUUUCUAUCCUUGCAUGUCUCACAGUCAUUAAACACUGCCUGUGAGCAGAGGGCAUAACACUGCUUCUGCACACCCAUAAAGAAUGCUGUUUGGGGGAGGGGAUUGUUUCAUAUUUCUGUUGCAUUAGCUUUUCCUCCCUGCAAUGCCAAUGAUAUCCUUGGCUCCCCUCCCUUGGCUAAUACGCUCUGGUUCCUAGUUACCCAUCCCUAACCUUGGGUUGUUGGUGUCCGCUGGCUGCAGCAGCCAAAAAAUUCAGCUUCAGGAAGAGGCCAGGUUAGAGAUGGGGAGGUUUU